ACCAAGAUGUAGAGGAGUUGGAAGAUGCGCUCGCCAAGAUGAAGCAAGAGAAGGAUAUGUGGGAAGAAUGUUUCCAUGCUUUGAGCAGAAAGCAUGAGGAGUUGCAGCUUGAGUAUAAGGAUAAAGAUGCACUAAUUGAGCUACUUAAAAACCGAGUAACGAAGAGACAGAGAGAACCGGAGGUUUCAUCUUCCUCUAGUAUGCCUCAGCC
rnacentral:lncRNA from 1 species